rnacentral:rRNA from 1 species
CCUACGGGAGGCAGCAGUGGGGAAUAUUGCACAAUGGGCGAAACCCUGAUGCAGCAACGCCGCGUGAGUGAUGACGGUCUUCGGAUUGUAAAACUCUGUCUUUGGGGACGAUAAUGACGGUACCCAAGGAGGAAGCCACGGCUAACUACGUGCCAGCAGCCGCGGUAAU